AAAGAAUCCCAAUGACUGCAACCAGAAAUUACAUAGUUAUCUGAGAAGCCUGAAACAAUGCUAUGGCUGUUCUCUCAGACGGCCAUCUUUUUCCCUAGAAGCCGGCCAACAUCUGAGAAAGAGAAACGUGACGUCCACCCGGAUUCCACCUGGAUUCGAACAUCCCAUGCUUAUCUCAAGACACUCUGGUUUUCUCUUCUGGAGUGGAAACACUUGUCUCUUCUCCUUCCUUCAUAAUCUCCUGGUGUGGUUUUAUCAUGGAGCUCCUUUAUUGAUAAAGAUGCCAUGACACCAACGCCUUAUUCUAAA